rnacentral:rRNA from 1 species
AUUGAACGCUGGCGGCAGGCCUAACACAUGCAAGUCGAGCGAGCGGCGGACGGGUGAGUAAUGUCUGGGAAACUGCCUGAUGGAGGGGGAUAACUACUGGAAACGGUAGCUAAUACCGCAUACCAUCGGAUGUGCCCAGAUGGGAUUAGCUAGUAGGUGGGGGAACGGCUCACCUAGGCGACGAUGCCUAGCUGUUCUGAGAGGAUGACCAGCAACACGGGAACUGGGACACGGUCCAGACUCCUAAGGGAGGCAGCAGUGGGAAAUAUUGCACAAUGGGCUCAAGCCUGAUGCAGCCAUGCCGCGUGUAUGAAGAGGGCCUUCGGGUUGUAAAGUACUUUCAGCGGGGAGGCGUUACCCGCAGAAGAAGCACCGGCUAACUCCGUGCCAGCAGCCGCGGUAAUUC